rnacentral:misc_RNA from 1 species
AAAAAAGAGAGAGAGAGAGAAAGAAAGACAGGGCACAGUUAGUUUCAAACACAUUAAAUGGUUGAUUAAAAAGGAUGAUAAACUAAUUGAAAACCACAUAUAUAAUUGCACCACGCACGCAAACAAAAGACCAUCCAUUUACAUAGUAUAAACAGAAAGGACCUUUCCACAAGAUUUUAGAACUUAUGAUCAGAUAUGCCAAGGCCUAGUGUUAUUAGAGAACAAAGUUCUUGAGGUCCAUUUUUAUCUUGGAUACUAAUGUUAUUCAUCUACAGAAAACUAAUAUCAAAGGUAGAUGACAAUACUUACAGCCAUGGCAUCAGCAA